rnacentral:rRNA from 1 species
GAUGAACGCUAGCUACAGGCUUAACACAUGCAAGUCGAGGGGAAACGACAUCGAAAGCUUGCUUUUGAUGGGCGUCGACCGGCGCACGGGUGAGUAACGCGUAUCCAACCUGCCCACCACUUGGGGAUAACCUUGCGAAAGUAAGACUAAUACCCAAUGAUAUCCCACGAAGGCAUCGGAAUGGGAUUAAAGAUUUAUCGGUGAUGGAUGGGGAUGCGUCUGAUUAGCUGGUUGGUGGGGUAACGGCCCACCAAGGCUACGAUCAGUAGGGGUUCUGAGAGGAAGGUCCCCCCACAUUGGAACUGAGACACGGUCCAAAACUCCUACGGGAGGCAGCAGUGAGGAAUAUUGGUCAAUGGGCAGAGCCUGAACCAGCCAAGUAGCGUGCAGGAUGACGGCCCUAUGGGUUGUAAACUGCUUUUAUAAGGGAUAAAGUGAGUCUCGUGAGACUUUUUGCAUGUACCUUAUGAAUAAGGACCGGCUAAUUCCGUG